rnacentral:lncRNA from 1 species
ACAUCUAGCAAUAUAUGGUGGCAAGCCAGCAAAACUAAAGAGAUAAACCUCUAGGUGCAGUUAUCAUGUGAUCCAAUUUUUCUAUCAUGAGUUCUGAUAGGAUCGAGGUCAAGGUUAACUCGUCAAACCUCAUCACUGUAAUAUGAUAGAAUCAUUCGAUUCGAGUCUGAUGUGAAAUCUAAUAGAAACACCUUUCUAUCUUUCACAG